rnacentral:tRNA from 1 species
CGGGGCGUGGCGCAGCCUGGUAGCGCGGCGGUUUUGGGAACCGUAGGUCGCAAGUUCAAAUCUUGCCGCCCCGACCA